UACGGAGGGGGUUAGCGUUGUUCGGAAUUACUGGGCGUAAAGCGCGCGUAGGCGGAUUAGAAAGUUGGGGGUGAAAUCCCGGGGCUCAACCCCGGAACUGCCUCCAAAACUACUAGUCUAGAGUUCGAGAGAGGUGAGAGGAAUUCCGAGUGUAGAGGUGAAAUUCGUAGAUAUUCGGAGGAACACCAGUGGCGAAGGCGGCUCACUGGCUCGAUACUGACGCUGAGGUGCGAAAGUGUGGGGAGCAAACAGG
rnacentral:rRNA from 1 species